rnacentral:rRNA from 1 species
AACGAACGCUGGCGGCGUGCCUAACACAUGUAAGUCGAACGAGACCUUCGGGUCUAGUGGCGCACGGGUGCGUAACGCGUGGGAACCUGCCCUUAGGUUCGGAAUAACUCCCCGAAAGGGGUGCUAAUACCGGAUAAUGUCUUCGGACCAAAGAUUUAUCGCCUUUGGAUGGGCCCGCGUUGGAUUAGCUAGUUGGUAGGGUAAAAGCCUACCAAGGCGACGAUCCAUAGCUGGUCUGAGAGGAUGAUCAGCCACACUGGGACUGAGACACGGCCCAGACUCCUACGGGACGCAGCAGUGGGGAAUAUUGGACGAUGGGCGAAAGCCUGAUCCAGCAAUGCCGCGUGAGUGAUGAAGGCCUUAGGGUUGUAAAGCUCUUUUACCCGGGAUGAUAAUGACAGUACCGGGAGAAUAAGCUCCGGCUAACUCCGUG